AGCUCUGGGUCUUUUGCUUUGUCUGCAGAUGCAAUCCUAAUCCCUGCUGCAGGCCUUCAUCCGCGCGGAGCAUUCCGCCGGCCUUCAUCCGCGGAGCAUUCCGCCGGCGGCAUGACUCCCCCGCCAGCGCCGGGCGGCGCCUUUCUUGCGGCGUCGCACCUCCCCGCUGCUGCCGGCUCCGCCCCGUCGCGCCAUCCGGACCCACUAGAUCUGGGAAGAGAGGGAAGAGAGAGGAAAAAGAGAAGAGGAAGAAAGAAAGGAACGGGAAAGAGAGAGCGUGAGUGAAAAUCAACGGUGAGUUCGCGGGUCAACCGCAAAUUCAUCAUUGCGCCCGCCGCAUGCAUAAUUCUUUCCUCCCCCGCCGCACGCACCCUGCGACAACGACUCCCCGUCGCGGCACCGCCAUGCCGCCUCUCCGUCGCAGCAUCGCCACCCUGCCUGGGCCUCCAACUCCGCCGCACCACCGACGCCGCCGCAGCGACGGCCGGGACCGCAGCGAUCUCCUCGAGCUUCUACAGCGAGGGCCGGGACGACGGCUGCAACCAAGGUCAACGACCCCGGGACGCGGCGCAGCCGCUCCGCCUCGCCGUGGGCCGCCGCUGCUCCGUCCCGCAGCGUGCUGCCGAGACGCGGCGCCACCGCUACACCCCGCCGCGGGCCGCCGCUCCGCCCCGCCACUCCGCCCCACCGUGCGCAGCUGCUGCUGCCCGGCCGCGACGCCGCCAUGCUCCGCUGCUGCAGCUCCAAGCGGCCCUACUGCGUCGUCGUGGGGAGAGGGAGGGGUCGGGGCGUGGAAGAGGCGUGACAGAGGAACGCAGUGAGGGGAGUGCAGUCCGUUUGGUCUUGAAUUUUGCCAUCAAUUAUUAUGGAGUUGAUUAGUACUGAUAUGUAUUACAAAAGCCUUGGACAUCAGAAUUAAGGGAUUGGUUUGGGACAAACAUGUUCCAUAUCAUUUUUACUGGCUUAUUAGUUCUGAAGGUUUGAAUAUUUGGUGAGACAGGAAUGAAUCACUGGGAAACAAUAACUUUUGGAAAUAAAAGGCUUCAAGCUAGGGUCGCACGAGGGAGGAUGUGCAGGAAUUGUUUUUUUAUUACAAGAUGUACUGUGAUGAAUAAUCUUUAUUAGCAGUACAAAACGGCGGUGACACGGUGAAGCUCUUCGGUAUUAGGGCGGAGUCCGGCGACCCCUGCGUCCUCGCUUACGCCCUCGCACCCAGCAACCCCGUCAACACCGUCAAUGACGUUGUGGUGGUCGGUGGCGGGCCUGGUUGGUGCGUGGCGGCCACCCCCUUCUCCUUCACUCCCCCUCGAUUGGUGCCCCCCCUGAUCCACUACGCGCUCGCCGCCGUCGUCGUCGUGUCGAGGUCGAGCUUUGUUUAGUCACUAUGGAUUGAAACACUAUACAUAGCAGAGGCAUUCAGAGGGUUCCAGAAUGAACUUUGUCAUUUUAGUGGCCAUGAGAUAUAUCCAGGGAAGGGUAUUAGGUUCAUUCAUUUUGAUUCCCAGCCUGGCUUAUCUGUUGAUCCUGCACUGCUGGGAUGAGUAUAGGAGGGGAGCAAAAGGGAAUGUCGGUGCCCAGAUAUUGACGAGAAGUGACUGCCCAGACAGCGAGCUACACCAAUUAUCAUCAAGGUAGCUGAAGAAUAUCAAGGUGAGGACCUGAAAGUCAUGUUGUAGAUGUUGCAUACGCUCGAGGAGGACAUUUGUUUUUUGUGGACAAUUUCCAUUACUUGAAGGAGACUGUCCAUGAUACAUUUAGAUUUGUCAGCGUCAGUCCAAAAGGGAUCAAGUUCCUCUCUGCUGAUAAAAUGGAUGGAAUACCACUGAUUUUACAGCUGACUGCAAAGAUGAUUGAUCUAGAGGAACAUGGUAGUUCACAGCACAAAGAAGGUGGUGGUUUAAAUCAUGUGCCCACAUCAUGUGUCAACCAGAUAUUACUUUGAAAAUGGUGCACAGGGCUGCUCGCUGGGAGAAGAAAAAGGAGGAGAUUGGAGGAGAUAGUCACAGGGAUUUAUGUCCCAGUGAGGGCAUAGGGGCGAGGGGCACUGGAGACCUGGCCGGUCCAGCAGCUUCGGCAGCCACCGCAGAGGCUGAGUCGGCGCGGGCGAGGGCGGCAGGGGCUCCUCGAGCCAACCUCCCCUCUCAUCUAACCGCAGUAAACGUGUAUCCCUGGACACAUGAUGAAGUAUUUGAUGGAACAGGUAUUUUCACCUGAACACUAUCUUGUGCAGUAUUUGAUGGAACAGGUAUCUUCAGUUUUUCACCUAUCCAUACUCUUCGUUUGCCUUGCAUUUCUAAAUCCUGAAGACAGAGAACUUCAUUAGUUAAAUGCUGGGAUCUUCCACUAUUGUUUUUAUAAGGCAAGGUUGGAUUUAGUACGAUUUCCAAAUCCAAAGUUUGACUGUUAAUUCUCUUACGAUGUAGUUUGAGAACUGCAACGUUAUUAUCAUAUGAAGUGUUCAAAUACGAGCUCCUAUAGUCCUAUGCUAGAUGGCUGAUAGUGUAUUUUGGUGAGAAGAGCUUUGUCAAUUAACAUGUCCAAUAAGAUGUAUUAUUUGAAUGAUUUAUGUGUAUUAUUGGUACUACUGUGUUCAUACCAUUGAAUUUGGACAAAUAUUUCAGGAGAAUUGGUAUUGAAGCCAAUGAAGAAUUGAGAUCCAUAUUCAAGUAUCUGUUGUGCUGUGCAGAGCUGCUGUGCGCACAACGAAUGUUGUGUUUGUGAUAUAUAGAUACGUCUGUACGGGACUACUGAUAAAUUUUAGUUUCUUUCAAAGUUCAAAGAGCUGCACCCUAAUUCUGUAUCUCAAUAGAUGCUUCACACUUUUGUAAUAAUCUGAAGACCAUAGUGGUCGUCUGCCGAACAUUAUCAAAGACCAUCUGCUACUUCUAUGCUGCCCAUCAUUUUUGUAACAUAAGUUAUUUUUCAAGGGAUUUUGUUUGGCUUGACACCAGCUUUAUCA